GCGGCUGUGUACCCCGAUGGGUAAGGGGGCGGGGCGGCAGAAUGCCGCCGCGCGGAUGUUGGUUCGAGUCCAACCCGGCCGCA
rnacentral:tRNA from 1 species